CUUUAUAAUCUUUAAUGAAAUUGUUUAUUACUAUUGCUUAUUCUAUAAUCUCGAUAAGCUCAAUACAAUGAAAAUAUUCUAGAAGCAUAUGCAUCUUCUUUAAACUCCUGUUAAAUAAAAUCAUAGAAAAUGAAGUAGAGGGAGUAUUGUUUAGUCACAUAUGGAUCGUGGUGUAAUAGUAAAUAGUAGAAAGUAAAAAAGCAGAUUUCAAAGCUUAAUACCAAACAAGUUUCACACAUGGAAUAUGAAAUUGGAAAAAGGGCUAUGUUAAGCUUGUCUUUUCUUGGAUCACGAUUGUUCUUGGAAGACAAGAUUCAACUUUUGCACAAAUUAAUAAAAAAAGUAGGAUCAAGUUUAUAGCCAACUAUAUCUACAUGAUUUUAUUUGGUCAAUUCUGUAGUAUUCUUUUGAAAAGCGACAUCUUUCAUAUAAUUAGGACUAUAGUGCUUUGUUCUGUUACUGAUCUUGAAGUUUUUUUUGGGAUAGUUUAUUAUCUUGAGCUUAUAUUAUUAACUGCGAUAGGAGUUAUGUCACUGUAACUGGUCUUCAACAUCCUAAUGUGAAAUAUAUUCAUGCUUUGUAGGAGUCUUAAAACAUAGAAGUUUAUUUAGUUUAGUAUUCUGGUGCGAUUUGACUGAUGAGUACGGUGCAAUUUAACCUAAUCUUUUAAUUUUUCUUAUUUUAGACUUUUCGUUAUUCUAUAAUGAUGAAUUUAAUGGUACGGUAUAAAAAAACAAAAUCAAAUUACAACAAUUAUUAUAUUUAAACUAACAAUAUAAUGCAAUACGAUACAUACCAACCAACUGUUGAAAUUUACUAUUUUUUGGGUAUGUGGAUGUAGAAAACACAUGGUGUAUUUAUCCUUCUGCUCUUCCCAUGAUUUCCGCUUGUAUUGGUGCCUCUCAAACUAAAGAAUUGACUAUUACAGUGCUGGGUCCUACUAACAAUAUUGGUCGUAUUACUGGCAAACAAGUAGCUUUGAUUAAAAGUGUUAAAGGGUUUUUCAUGCCACAAAUUGCUUUAUCACAGUCAAUUCCACUGAGGUAUUGCUUUUUCUCCAGAAUUCUUUAGUCCCCGCGUUAAAAUAUUUGCCUUUUAGAAGCCUUCUUUCUUUUUGUACAAGUGUGCUGCAUUGUUUAUCGCUCCUGUCAGCAUGUAGUACUAUACUUGACACCUAAGUUGAGUGGACUCUUCACUUUCGAUGCCGCAUCUGUUGGAUUCUCCAAAAAUGCAUUACUUUUGAAAAAUUCGACACGUACUCAUUGAUAUUUUUGGAGAGUCCAAGCAACAUAAUUUGCCAAUGCUUUUCUUCUCUUUGAUCAUUUUGGAACAAACUUUUACACAAAAAGCGUUGGUGACAGUUUCUCAUCUUUUUUUGGUUCCUUACUAGAAGGUAUAAGAAGAUUAAGUUCUCCACUAUAAAACAACCACAACCCAAUCUUAUCUCAAUACCAAACUCAGUUCUUGAACUAUCCACUCUUAACUCAAAGAAAGCAAAAAAAGAUAUUAAGCUUUAACUUUCUAUGUGUGUGUGAAAAAAUGGCAGAAAACAAGAAAGAAGAUGUUAAGCUUGUAGCUAACAAGUUCAGGGAAACACAACCAUUGGGUACAACAGUACAAAGAACCACCACCAGCACCAUUGUUUAAACCAGGGGAGUUGUCAUCAUGGUCCUUUUAUAGAACAGUUGGUAUCCAAGGUGUUGCUUGGGCUUUGGUUGAACGAUCUUUGAUUUCGUGUAUUGUAUUGCUGGUAUCUCAGGUGCUGAUUCUUAUACGCUGGUGAUACUGGUUUGUCAUUGGCUCCAAUGUUGCCCAAUGAUCCUCCAUCAGGCAGUCACUAUGGCAUGAGUCACUCUCGCUGCAUUUCUGCUUUCCCUGCAUAACAUAAAGUUUGAUUUCCAUUCUGUUGUCUAUCUGGGUAUUUCAAAGAUGCUGUAAAGUGCGUCUUCCUUAGGACCUCUCAUAGUAUAUUAAAAAUAAGACUGAUAAGAAUGAAUUUUUUAUGCCUUACUCAUAGAAAUGUUUUCCUAAUUCAAUUGCCAGCUAACCUCAUUCUUGCUAUAAGAUGAUGAGUUUUUCUUGUGUUUACUCUGAUAGCCGUGAGAUUUGGCUUGUUUAGUUCAUGUCCACAUCUUGACUUCUGAAAGUGCAAGUAAAAUGUAGACGCUCAUGGUUGUGUUAUGAGGGAGCUUAUGUAUGUUUUCCAGUUGAACUAUUGGGCCUGUGCUGGCGCGGGUUAAACCACCUAGUACUAUAUAGAAGAGCCAGUGUUAGGAACGACCAAGGGCAAGUGAGAAAUUUUACACUAAUAAAAAUCACUCUUUCCCAUGCUCUAGAACCAUCCAUUUCUUUCUUUAGCCAUUUCAUAGAUGACCCAACACUACUUUUCUCAAAGAAAAACUCAAAAACUCUUUUGUGUUCCCUUACCACCACCGAUACCACCACCACCGAAACGACAUUGUUCAGCUGAGUUCCGUUAUGAUCCGUUGAGUUAUUCGUUGAAUUUUGAAGAUGAAGUGAACUUCACCAACUUCUUUUCUAGACUUCAUCUUUUGUCGGUGAUGGUGAUGGAGCCGGCGACGGUGAAGGUAAAGCAUGUGGGUAUUGCUGCUGCGACUGGUUUAUGAGUUGUAAUGGCGACUUUCAAAAGCUGUUGAACAUAUCAUCAGAUGAUAAGAUUCUGCCUACAACGUAUGGUGAACUCAGGCCGCCUCGAGGGAAGCAUCGUUUAAAGAUUGUGGAAUUCAUUUCUGCGCUACUAAAAAUUGGAAAUGAAGUUGCAGAGGAUAAAUUGAUCAGCUCUGAGAUAAUUGAGAGAAUCCUGGAUCUGUUUUUUGAGUAAGAUUCUGCCUAUGGUCCUAUACUUUCGGACUCGGUGCACAAAAGUCAUUGAUCUUGCGUUCACUUUCUUACUUGUUUCUUCUUUGAUGUUCUAACCAGUUGGAUAAUUGCUAUAUAGGUAUGCAUUUAACAAUGCGUUGCAUCAUCACGUAAAGAUCGAGUAUAAUAAACCCAUGCUUGGAAAGUAGAAACAGUAUCCUCGUCGAUCAUCUUUUUAAAGAGUGUAAUUUGCUUGAAAAAAUUCUUCAAACAAAUAAACAGUCCACAGUGUCUGGCAGUGAAAGUCAGGGGAUAUUAGUGAAGUAACUGAUUUCCUUCUCCUUGAUGUUUAUAAGUCUUGCAAAUUUAUGUGCUCUAUUCUUUUUAUAGCUGUCCCUACUUUUUUAUGGAAUAUUAUUAUAUUGAAUAAUAACCUUGUAUUCUCAUUGCUAAUAAUUUAAAAUGUUUAAUUGUUCUUUUCAACUGAUGCAACCCACUUUUCCUGCUACUGCUAAACAAGCACCCCGAGUGGGUAACUUAGGGCAUCUAACACGGAUUGCUAACAAACUUGUUCAGUUGGGAAGCAAUGACAAUCGCAUUCAAGGAUAUCUUGAGGGACAUCUGCUGCAAUCCACUAUGGAACUGGAUCUAUUUCUGAAUAUGUUCGUACUGACAACGUCAAAGUUGGCGAUCUUGUUGUCAAAGAUCAGAAUUGGAUUUAUAGGACUCGAAAACAUGGGAUCAAGAAUGGUCGAUAGCUUGAUUAAGGCUGGAUAUGAGGUCGCAGUACAUGACAUAAAUCAAGAUGUUGUGAAGAUGUUUUCGGACAAAGGCAUUCUGAUAGAAGACUCUUUUAAAAGUUGCAGAGACAAGUGAUGUGGUUAUUACAAUGUUACUGUCAUCAAACCAUGUGAGAUUUGCAUACCAUUUUUAUAGCUCUUAUUAUAUCUCACACAGGUUUGACACGCCCUUCCGUUUUCAAAUUUCAUCCCUUUAAGAUGAUCGCUUCGACUUGAGAUUGAACAGGUCAGAGAUUAACUUCUAUUGAUGGUUGUGCUAAUCACUUUACGUGUAGUUUAUGUCAGUAAUUUGUUUUAAUUAGUGGUAAGAUGGAGACUUUGAUAAAGCAAAGUUUUCUGUCGAUUAGUAAUAUUCAACAGAUCAUGUAAGCUUUUCUAAACUGGUCGAGAAGGCUACUAAAUCGGUUGUUCUUAUCACAAGAUCCUGAUUUUAGUUGUGAGUUGUGUGUUAUUCAUAGAUCAACAGAAACUAUUUUAUUUGAUAAAUUCAGGUAUACCCGAUGUUUACUAUUCUAAAGGUGUCAAAUAUGUUUAAUUGGUAGAGAAAUUCAGGAGAACUUAGAUGCAUACAUAAUAUUUGUGUGUAUUACGGUGGAGAAAAUAAGUCCUUUGAAGAAGUAUUGUCAUGACACCUAAAGUGGAAAUUGUCUAUGUAGAUUUAAACAAAUCAUGUUCUUUGGAUUAGAAGUCAAAAUUGAGAAGAGGCGAUUUAGUAUUAUGACACUGUUUUACCUUGUUGUAAUGUCUAUUUCGGAAUUUGAGCAUUGUUGGAUGUUUUGAUUAGUUUUAUUUCAUUACUUGUUUAGGGAUUUUUACAUUUAUUUCCUUCUCAUGAAUAAGUUAUCGGAGAGUUUUUGUUUUCUUCAGUUUUGGAGGAACUGAGAAACUUAGCUUCCAAAUUUACUUACUAAUGAGUUAAUCAAACAAGUGAAGACCCAUCCUUUUGUUGGAAAAAACUUACACGCCCCACAUAAGUUUUAGAUUCAGUUGAUUGAAGGUAAGUUUUACACACAAGCUUUUGUUCAUGAGUAAGGCCACUGGAUCAUGUUUUUGGUUGAAUUGCUUAUAGUCAGUUUGAAUGAAUAUGGCAUACCACUCUUGCGUAAACCUCAGCUUGAUUAUCAAUGAUCUUUUCAUUUAGAUAAGUAAUUCUAAUAUGGUUUAACAAGUUCCAAAAUGGAUCACAUACUCUAGACCGUACUCUAAACUAAAAGCAACAUUCGAAAUGGAACUUUUCCUCCUACGUUGUUCCAUCUUUCUGUGACAAGUAACUUUAAGCUAUGGUGCUCAAACUCUUCAAGAAUGUCAUCGGUGCUUGUCGGAUUCUUCAAAAUUAGUGCAUUUUUUAAGGAUCCAACACAUGUGCAGCCAUAUUUUGGGGGAGUCCAAGCAAAUUAUAUUCUAAGAUGAGCAAAAAUCUUUUGACUAUAUCUUGUUUAGUCAUGUUCUUUACUCUGCGUAGUUCAUGCAAAUUCUACACUAAAAGGUAAGCGCGCAUGACAGAUGACCACUUUGUUGUAAUUUCCGUGUUACAAUUUGAAUGCUUAAUGACAACAAGCUAAAGAGAGAGAAGGGGUGUAUUUUUGUUCUAGAAAGUUGUGUUUCUCAUUUGGAUAGUUUAUUCAUAUUGUGUAGCAAUUGGCUUUUUGGUUCUUAUUAAAGAAACAGUUGCAUAGAAAUGAAAAAUUCCAUCUGAGGUCAACCAACAUUAGAAAAACAAGAAAAUAGUUGAAUACACAACAAUCAGAGAGUAAGGAACGAGGCUUGCUAAGCAAGUUAUCAAAUCUUACUUGACAUUUGGUUUGACCGGUGUAAUACCACGAGCAUGUAAGUCGGCAUCUUUGUUGUUGCAGUUACUAUUGGCUUGUGGUUGCUGUUGUUGUUAUACUGUGUUGUCUGAGUCUAACUGUGGCUGCUAAAAAUAUUGUAAGUGUAGAACAUGGCAAAUUUGUCUAAGAGGCAAGGCUGCUCAACAUAUGCUAUGUCUAUUGAUUAUUGAUUUGUUUCUGCGAUGAUUGUCUCAGGUUGUUGCUUGUGGCUUUUACAUUUGGUUUUCAUCAUAUGGGAUUUGAGUUUGUUAACAUCUAUGGGUGUCCAUUGUAUUAGUAUUUCACAACAAUUCAGCUACUUUGUCAAUUGUCAUUAGGUAUGUAAAUGUUUAUCCAAAAUUUUUAAAACAAAGACAUACGUACAGUGUUACUAAUGCUAUCUACAAUGUAACUCUUUCAAUUUACAAAUGAAUUUUCAUUCUGAUACCAUAAUAGCGUACGUUAUUCCAA